rnacentral:lncRNA from 1 species
AGUGGGCGUGCAGGAGAAGCUGUAGGUCAGGAGGUAGAGUUGGCAGUGGGCGUGCAGGAGAAGCUGUAGGUCGGAGAGGUAGAGGUGGCAGUGGGCGUGCAGGAGAAGCUGUAGGUCAGGGGGUAGAGGUGGCAGUGGGCGUGCAGGAGAAGCUGUAGGUCAGAGUGGAUAGGUGGCAGUGGGCGUGCAGGAGAAGCUGUAGGUCAGGAGGUAGAGGUGGCAGUGGGCGUGCAGGAGAAGCUGUAGGUCAGGAGGUAGAGGUGGCAGUGGGCGUGCAGGAGAAGCUGUAGGUCAGGAGGUAGAGUUGGCAGUGGGCGUGCAGGAGAAGCUGUAGGUCGGAGAGGUAGAGGUGGCAGUGGGCGUGCAGGAGAAGCUGUAGGUCAGAGUGGAGAGGUGGCAGUGGGCGUGCAGGAGAAGCUGUAGGUCGGGAGGUAGAGGUGGCAGUGGGCGUGCAGGAGAAGCUGUAGGUCAGGGGGUAGAGGUGGCAGUGGGCGUGCAGGAGAAGCUGUAGGUC